UGGUAUAUUUUCAUAACUGUAGAUUUUUUUUAAAGAUUAUUGAACAAUAGAACCCAUUUCAGCUCAGAUUAUUUAGAAUACUAGAAUAUGUUGGAAUGUUAUAGAAGAUCUGCCUCAAAAACAUCUUCCUCCUCUUCAUCAUCAUCAUCACUGAUGGUGAGAUUUGCCGCCAUAAUUGUCUCGGUUUCCUACAAAAAUCUUAGAAGAAAACUGCAAAAUGUGUUCAAUAUUAUGAUUAUUAUUAAUGCUACCAUCAUUAUGAAAAUUAAGUCUAAUAAACAAUCUUUUUAAAUGAAAAAUAUACAUAAUUUUCCUUACUUGUUCAGGGCGCAUCAUGUUAUGAUUUCACCACCUUCAUUGGGUUUCACAUUUACAACACAUGUAUCCUUAUUUGGCACAAAUAGUCAACUAUAUCAUGUGAGAGGUCCUUUAAACCUAGCAUUAUUAGGUUUAGAGAUCCGACUGUAAACACCAGAGGAGACCGAGCCACAAGAAGGCAGUUGUCCGGUUCUGCAAACCUACCAAUAGUUGGCGCAUCACAGACCCGCUCCAAUUGGUCGAACAGCGCCAUGGCGUUGACCAUGACUAGCUGAUCUCUGAUGAUUGCUUGGGUGAAAUCCUGUGAUUCUAAGAGCUUGUGAAAGUGGAAGUGUCUAAAUAUAGACACUGUCCCUAUUAAGGGUUGUAACCCGUCCCAGACAAAAAUAAUGGCGCUGAUGAACUGUGGAUAGUAUGCACACAAUUUAACAAAGCGUCUGAGCAAGCUGUAAGAAUGUAAGCCUGUUCAGAUAUUUUCAUAUUUUCAUCCCAAAAAAGGAAACAUAGAUUUGCACAUGGACACGUUUUAACAUAUGCGUGCAAGAAAAUCAUAAUUACACACUUCAUUUAAGUUGAGGUACAGAAGUUCAGUGGAAUGAAAUGAGUAAAUCCACAUAAAAACCUAACUGCCAGCAAAUGAUCUUUGGCAAUAAUUAUCAUUUCCAACUGGCUGAAACUACAUAAACUUCUCCAUGACUGUCAGCGUGUUCUUCUCCAACAGACCAAAGGCUGAAACAUCCUACAGAGGGGAAAAGUGAAACUUUGCAGGAAUAGAAAUGCUCAGGUGUUGUCGUCGACCCCAACUUACCUUCAACAAACAAGUAAAAAACAGAAGGAAGUUUAGCCUCUCCAACAAAUCGGAGCGAAUUCAACAGUAGAAUCCGCUGUUCUGCACUUUAACCCACAAUCGUGUCACAUGACUUACUGCAUAACCAACUGGACUACAGUCUGUAAAAUUACCAUAGCAACAAUGAGUACAAUCAAAGGGUUCAAAUGAAGGCGACUGGACUUCUUUGGUUUUUUGAAGACGUUUCGCUUCUCAUCCGAGGAGCUUUUUCAGUUCUAACUGUAAUAUGGGAGAUUCAAGCUUAUAAGAUGUAGCUGUCUAUUUUUAUUUAAGGAGACGAAACUACUCUGGGUACCCUUCAUUUGAACCCUUUUGGAUUACAAUGACCUGGAUGACUGAGAACCUUCACCAGCAAAUCAGUACAACCUACAAACGUGCCUUAAAGGUCCUCAACAGAAAACCAAAAACUCCUCAUCAUUGCGAUAUUCUCAUUAAAUACCGGCUACUGUCUGAUCCCUGUUCUCUUUUAGAAGCACCUGUGGACUAAUUGUUCUCAACAACCUGGAUUACAAUUUCUACUGAAAUUCGCAAAAUAAACAACCUCAACUCUUUCAGAGGCUUUAAAAACCCAAAUCUGUUCCCACAGCCAAUCCUAAUCUAAAUCUGUUUUCUCUGUCUAUAAAAUCAGGGGCUUGCAUGUGAUACUUGUGUGCUUGGUGCUAUGAAAGUUCUCACUCGUGUUAACGUGACAAAAGUAAAUGUGAACCCUAACCCUUACCUCAAGCUGCCAUUCUUCAAAGAUAUUUUUCUGUCAUUUUUAUUUCUUUUGUGUAUGUAACUCAGACAAAUGCACUGUAAAACCUAACAGCAUAUCUUAAUAAACAAAGUGGGUUCAUAUAACUUUAUUCCCAGAAGAAGUUGAACUAACUGACUUGUAUGAAGUUCACCUUACUCAAAGAGAAAACUUGGUUACUAACUCUGCAGAUUUGAGUUAAUGACUUUUCAGUGUUCCAGUUGUUACUCAAACAUCAGAAUUUUGUUAGAUUUACAUAUUUUGUUUUGGUUGAUGCCCAUAAAUUCAUUUUAAGUCAUCUAAAAGAGUAGGCCCUGCUGAAUUGGGCAGGUGACCCUGUGUACCUGAGGAUGCCGAGGUGUCCAGCCUGAGGAAACAGUUUCUUUCUACACUGAAUGGAGAAGAGCCAGAAAUCAUCAUAGUUGAUUAAAAAGACAACGCCGGACUACCAUUUUUGGUAAGAAUGUUCUUUCAAUGGUUAUGUUGCAAUUUGUUGUUUCCUUGUUUCAGUUACCGAGUAAAUUCACAAACUAUAACUGUGGCGAGCUUCAAGAUGUCUAAUGUUUAAUAUGCUGUGUGACCUAAUAAGGGUGUAUGUGCAAAACAACAGUAGGUUACAAAAAGCUUCAUGGUUGAAAUGCUAGCGUAUUUUAGAAUUUUAUAUUAACAUUUUUAUUUAUCAAAAUGCUGUUAAACUGCUGUUCAAUGAGUCAUUUGGCCUAAAAUUGGUAACACAGUACAAUACAAUCUCUUUGGAAAGUUCUGAUGGAAUAGUUUUACUAUGUUGUAGAAACAACAUUUAAAGCCUUGUUUUUGUUUGAAAAUAAAGACAUAAUUCUAUUAGGUAAACUGCUACCUGGAAUGGGUUAAUACAUGUCAGUCAUUUCCAUCUAAAUGGUAUUUUUGGUUUGUACGGACACACAUAAUGCGAGCUACAAAAACUCUGAGUACUAUAAUACUAAACAAUGCUUUAUUGAUAAAUGUCUACUUUACUUCCUACAUUCCAGAGAAGUUUGCAUCAGGCCAAGAGCUGACCAAGGCCCAGACAAUGAAGAACCACCGAGGUCCCUCUUACCCACAAGGAUGUUGAACUUUGAUUUUGCAGUGACUAGGAGUCAAGCUCUACACGGAUCUCCAUAGGAUCACAAACCAAAGCCUGCAAUACUACUUCUGUUCCUGACUGGACCCAUAGUCACCUCAAAAUCUGACGCUGUACAAAAAGAUGAGGACGGGAAUUUCAGACGAGGCGAUGAAAAAACUCAUGGAGACUUUUGAAGAACAAGACAUGAAUGAACAGCAACCCUAGCUGGUCUGCCACUGCACCUGAAGGAGGAUUUGGACAUCUGUAACACUUAUAAGGUAAUUUGUGAUUUAUUUAUCUUUUUCUUUUAAUUUGAGACAUUUAUCUGGAAUUCGUUAAAUUUAUUUCUUAAUUUAAAAAAAUUCUUGUAUGAAGGAAUGAAUGCAGCAUAGCAGUUAAUACAAUAAAUGCAGGUUCAGAACAACAAAUGCUUAAAAUUAGCCAUCAAAAAUUUCAUCUGAAAAACUCGACUGCAUGAAUUUUUAGCUUGUUAGCCUUGUUAGCAUGUCGUGAGUAAACUUCCUUGUUUCUAAUCUCCACUUUCACACAAUGCACAAACCAGUUUAAACUAGGAGUUUCCAGGUCCUACUGUCUGCUGACCAUGACCUGAAAAA